rnacentral:lncRNA from 1 species
UUGAAUGAAUCAUUCGGUGUUCCCGACGACGUUGAGAGGCACAAAACCAGUUGUGCCAUCUUCAGCGCCCGAAUGAAAGAUGGGACCUCGGUAACUGAUCAUAUAUUGUAUAUGAUUGAGUUGAUCGAGCGUCUAAGCUCUCUUGGCUUUCCCCUUCAUGAUCAAUUGGGGAAGGAUGCCAUACUAAACUCAUUGCCUGGAUCAUA